rnacentral:rRNA from 1 species
UACGUAGGGACCGAGCGUUGUCCGGAAUCAUUGGGCGUAAAGAGCGUGUAGGCGGCUUGUUAAGUCUUGCGUGAAAUCUCGGGGCUCAACCCCGAGCGGUCGUGAGAAACUGGCAGGCUAGAGUGCGGGAGAGGAGAGUGGAAUUCCUGGUGUAGCGGUGAAAUGCGUAGAUAUCUGGAGGAAUACCGGUGGCGAAGGCGGCAUCCUGGACCGACAUUGACGCUGAGGAGCGAAAGCUAGGGGAGCAAACGGG